AUUGAACGCUGGCGGCAUGCCUUACACAUGCAAGUCGAACGGCAGCACGGGUGCUUGCACCUGGUGGCGAGUGGCGAACGGGUGAGUAAUACAUCGGAACGUACCUUAUCGUGGGGGAUAACGCAGCGAAAGCUGUGCUAAUACCGCAUACGCCCUGAGGGGGAAAGCGGGGGAUCGAAAGACCUCGCGCGAUUAGAGCGGCCGAUGCCUGAUUAGCUUGCUGGUGGGGGUAAAAGCCCACCAAGGCGACGAUCAGUAGCUGGUCUGAGAGGACGAUCAGCCACACUGGGACUGAGACACGGCCCAGACUCCUACGGGAGGCAGCAGUGGGGAAUUUUGGACAAUGGGGGCAACCCUGAUCCAGCAAUGCCGCGUGAGUGAAGAAGGCCUUCGGGUUGUAAAGCUCUUUUGUCAGGGAAGAAACACCGGCUCUAACACAGUCCGGGAAUGACGGUACCUGAAGAAUAAGCACCGGCUAACUACGUGCCAGCAGCCGCAGUAA
rnacentral:rRNA from 1 species